rnacentral:rRNA from 1 species
AGUCAAUAGAUACCCGGGUAGUCCACGCCGUAAACGAUGAAUACUAGGUGUAGGGGUUGUCAUGACCUCUGUGCCGCCGCUAAACGCAUUAAGUAUUCCGCCUGGGGAGUACGGUCGCAAGAUUAAAACUCAAAGGAAUUGACGGGGGCCCGCACAAGCAGCGGAGCAUGUGGUUUAAUUCGAAGCAACGCGAAGAACCUUACCUAGACUUGACAUCUCCUGAAUUACUCUGUAAUGGAGGAAGCCCUUGGGGCAGGAAGACAGGUGGUGCAUGGUUGUCGUCAGCUCGUGUCGUGAGAUGUUGGGUUAAGUCCCGCAACGAGCGCAACCCUUAUUGUUAGUUGCUACCAUUAAGUUGAGCACUCUAGCGAGACUGCCGGGUUAACCGGAGGAAGUGGGGAUGACGUCAAAUCAUCAUGCCCCUUAUGUCUAGGGCUACACACGUGCUACAAUGGCUGGUACAGAGAGAUGCUAAACCGCGAGUGGAGCCAAACUUUAAACCAGUCUCAGUUCGGAUUGUAGGCUGAAACUCGCCUAC